rnacentral:lncRNA from 1 species
ACAAAAGAUGACUUGAACCGGUCGGGACGUGGAAAAAACUCCUAAGAGAUCUUGUAUCCUUUUCACUUGUGUUUUACUUCCUACUUGCUCACUUAUAUGAAAUUUUUGUUAAGUCUCUCCUAAGUGUGCUAUUUGAGUUAUUUCAUGCUACUGGCUUGAUUGCUUGCUCGCUUGAAUUUUUUGAUUUCAUUGAGUAUUAGCUCACCCCAAAUUAUUGUUCUUAACAGGUUUUGGAAGUGAAAGUUGGAAAGUUCUAGACUAGGAAUUUUUGGUU